rfam:Streptococcus pyogenes MGAS10270, complete genome.
UAAGGCAAACUAAAAAGCGUAGUAUUUAAACCACGCUAGUUCUUGCCUGCUGAACUCAUUGUGUAAAGGACCUGUAAAGGUCUUUUU